rnacentral:snRNA from 1 species
GGAUGUGAGGGCAAUCUGGCUGCAACAUCUGUCAUCCCAUUGAUCACUAGGGUUGAUUUGGCUGAUCUGGCUGGCUAGGCAGGUGUCCCCUUCCUCCCUCAUCACUCCAUGUAAGGGAUGCUGCACUUGGUGGAAGAGGACCACCUUCCCUGAAUAGAGGAGGUCUUUGGUUAAGGUUAUACAAAUAGCUGCGCUCCCCUGCUAGAACGUCCAAACAAGCUCUCAUGAAGGUAUUAGUUUUGUGUAGCUAUAAGUUAUUUUACUAGAUAUCAAAAAUAAUGAUCUGUGACAUUUGAUAGAGUGCAUAGUUUU